rnacentral:misc_RNA from 1 species
GGAGCCUAGUGAGCCUGGAGCCUCAUGCGCGCCUUAAUAACUAUGGCAACAACUUUAGCUCCAGAAACAACAAUCAGCUAGCCAAAUGCUAAAUUAAAUGAUCAUUAUGUGACCUCACUGCAAGAAAAAGCAACCUUGAAAAGCUGAUAUCUCUUUUCCGAUAUAUAAAUCAAACUCAGAAUCAUGGAUAAGACAUUGAAGUCAGCAUUGGAAAAUUGGAAAAUGAAAACCAAGAAAAGAAAAUAAGAUGAACCCGAAAGCAGAAAAUAUCUCACAUGGAUGAAUCAAAGAACUGGUUUUUACUUGAUGGUACCAAUCCCACCACAGUUUCAUCAUCUGAAUAGAACCCAAAACAUGAAGAAAAGGAAAUCCUUCACAAUCUAACAAAAAAGGAUUUUCAUUUGAACUUUCAGUCCAACAAUUCUUCAGCCCAACCAAACAGAAAUACACAAACAAAAUCUAUAAAACAGUGAAAAAGUAAUGGUUCAAUAGUCGAAAUACUGAAAUUUACUUUAGACAUGACAUUAUUAAAAUAUGCAACAACUAAUAAUCCAAAAUCAGCUGCAUAAUCUAAAAU